rnacentral:rRNA from 1 species
AACGAACGCUGGCGGCAGGCUUAACACAUGCAAGUCGAACGAAGGCUUCGGCCUUAGUGGCGCACGGGUGAGUAACACGUGGGAAUAUACCUCUUGGUGGGGAAUAACAUCGGGAAACUGAUGCUAAUACCGCAUACGCCCUUCGGGGGAAAGAUUUAUCGCCGAGAGAUUAGCCCGCGUCCGAUUAGCUAGUUGGUGAGGUAAUGGCUCACCAAGGCGACGAUCGGUAGCUGGUCUGAGAGGAUGAUCAGCCACACUGGGACUGAGACACGGCCCAGACUCCUACGGGAGGCAGCAGUGGGGAAUAUUGGACAAUGGGCGAAAGCCUGAUCCAGCCAUGCCGCGUGAGUGAUGAAGGCCUUAGGGUUGUAAAGCUCUUUCACCCACGACGAUGAUGACGGUAGUGGGAGAAGAAGCCCCGGCUAACUUCGUGCCAGCCGCCGCAGUAA